GCAAAGGAAUGGGAUGAAAAAGGAUGAUUGUAUGAGUAAGGAAAGAAGUCCAAAGGGUGUCCUAUGUGAUCAUAAAAUCCUUCCUAGUUUGAAGGAGAAGUAUACAAGACUGAAAUUCGGCUGUCUAUUAUAUAUGGCAAUGAAUGUUUGGCAGUGAAUAACUAACAAGACUAUAAAAUGAUUGUGAUAAAGAUGUGGAUGACAAAUGAAUGUGGGAAAUAUGAGAAAGGAUUGGAUUAAAAAUUAUUGCAUUUUAGGAGAGUGAAAGUUCUGCCUAUGGAGGAUAAGUUGAGGGAGGGGGUUGUUUGACAUGGUUUUGGUCAUAUCUCACGUAGAACAACAGAUGCACCGGUACAAAAAAUUGAGCAUGUCCAAGAUAAGAGGAUUGAACAACACUUGAGAAGACUGAGGAUGACCUGGGCUAAAGUAGUUGAGAAGAAAUGAACAUGGUUAAAUCUUUUUGAAAUAUGGUCCUAAACCAAGUAGAAUUGAGGAAAAAAGUUAUUUAUACAGCUGACCCAACUUGAUUGGAAUCGAGGCUGCAUUGAGUUGUAAUGAUCAUCAUCUCUUAGAUGCUGAAAUCUGGUUUCUGGCU
rnacentral:misc_RNA from 1 species